AUUGAACGCUGGCGGCAUGCUUUACACAUGCAAGUCGAACGGUAACAGGUCUUCGGAUGCUGACGAGUGGCGAACGGGUGAGUAAUGUAUCGGAACGUGCCCAGUAGUGGGGGAUAACUACUCGAAAGAGUGGCUAAUACCGCAUGAGAACUGAGGUUGAAAGCGGGGGACCUUCGGGCCUCGCGCUACUGGAGCGGCCGAUAUCAGAUUAGCUAGUUGGUGGGGUAAAAGCCUACCAAGGCGACGAUCCAUAGCUGGUCUGAGAGGACGACCAGCCACACUGGGACUGAGACACGGCCCAGACUCCUACGGGAGGCAGCAGUGGGGAAUUUUGGACAAUGGGCGCAAGCCUGAUCCAGCAAUGCCGCGUGCAGGAAGAAGGCCUCGGUUGUAACUAGCUUUGUCAGGGAGAAAGUACUCUAGGUUAAUACCUUGGGGGAGUGACGGUACCGUGAAGAAUAAGCACCGGCUAACUACGUGCCAGCAGCCGCGGUAAAGUAGU
rnacentral:rRNA from 1 species